rnacentral:rRNA from 1 species
UACAGAGGUGGCAAGCGUUGUUCGGAAUUACUGGGCGUAAAGGGCGCGUAGGCGGUUCGUUAAGUCCUGUGUGAAAUCCCCCGGCUCAACUGGGGAACUGCACAGGAAACUAGCGGGCUUGAGUUCGGGAGAGGGAAGCGGAAUUCCUGGUGUAGCGGUGAAAUGGCGCAGAUAUCAGGAAGAACACCCGUGGCGAAGGCGGCUCUCUGGGACGGUACUGACGCUGAGACGCGAAAGCGUGGGGAGCGAACAGG